AAUGUUUGCAUUUUAUAAUUCUAUAAUAUUCUUGUUAUAGCAGCCCAAACAGACUAAGACAAAUGACUAGACAACAAGUCAGAAAGGAUGCAGAAGAACUGAACAACACAAGCAACCAACAGAAUCUAAUUGGCUGAUGAAGUUGCAGGCAUUCAGUUUUCACUGGGAAUGUCCUCCAGACGGAUGUGUAAGAAGGCCAGGGUCAGGCUUCAGGAGCACCUAGGCAGGUUCACACUUGACACCUGUCACUCGUCACUCACCCGCCAGCCCACUGCCUGGUCAACGUAAGGCUGUCUCCUUGCGGAGACUGGCUCAGCACUGAAGUAAUGGAGCUGUCUUUCUGUCUGUCUGGCUUGUGGUUUAGAGCAGGAAAGAUGGAGAGGCAUCCAGCCAACUAGCACAGAAUGUUGCGAAAACUUGGCCCACGGGAUUCCAGAGCCUGUGUCCUCUGCUAUGGCACGGAGAGGACUUCUGUGCACACACGUCCCCAGUGAGCCAUUUCCCCUGAGUGGUUCCCUCUUUCUGCCCUUUGCCCUGCAUUUUCACAGAAAGGUUUGAGCUCAAUUUACAACCUCAGUGGGCCAGGGACUGUAGUGAAUGAAGGGAGUGACUGAGAGCAUUGUGGGGCAGUCCUGCCCCCUGGUGGGCAGCGUCACUUACUACAGAAGGCCGUAUUUUAAAACUUUAUUUGCAAAGAUGAGGGCUGCAUAUGUUAGUGGCUAGGUUCAAAAUGGAAAGCUAGUGAAAUGGAAAAUUUAGUGGUUAGAAAUGUGGAUGCUGGAGCCACGUUGCCUGGCUUCAAAUCUUGGCUCUGCCUUGUAUACACUCUAGUACAAUGACAAGUUAUUUAGCUUCUCCCAUUUGUCAAAUGGGAAAAGCAAUCAGGCUUACAUGCCAAGAUUGUGGUGAGAAUCAGAUGAGUUAGUACACAUUAAGUGAUUCAGAUGUUGCCUGGCAAGGAAUCUUCACUAAAUAAUAUCUAGAUAGAGUUACCUUUAAAAAUUAUUGAAUAGGAUUUUCUGUAAUCCCCAUGAAGUCAUUUGACAGGAUUUGUGGAUGUUCAGCAUCUCAAACUGUGAAACAUUGAGACCCAUUUCCCAUAUGACUAGUUUAUCCUCUGUAAUAGUGAUCACACAGGACAGGGGUUGGUAAGCUUUUCAAAGGGUCAAGGUGAACUCCUCGUACUGCUGGGGCCGAGGCUGCCCCCAUCUUCACGUGACUGAUGCAUUGGUCUGGGGGUCUCCCGUCUCAGUGCACAUAACAGCUCACAUCAUCACUAUGGUAAGUUCCUUCAGGCAGGACAGUGCAGACCCUUCUCCCUUUCCUACUAUGCAACUUCCUCACCCCCCUUUGUGCUCCCCACCCACAUUUCAGCCAUCUUUACCAUCUGUCUAUAACUAUAAAGAAAUACCAGGAGAUAAAACAAAAGAAAUUUCCUUUAUGAGGUGAUGAAAAUCUUCUAAAAUUGAUUGCAGUGAUGGUGGAUAUACUAAAAACCAUUGAAUCGUACACUUCAAAUAUGUGAAUUGCACAGUAUGUGCAUUAUGUCUCAAUAAAGCUAUUAUAAAAGAAUCUAAAAGGAGACUAAAGACAAACUCAAGAGGCCUCAGUGUAUGGGCCAUCAUCCUUAGAUCUCUGCACACAGAUUGCUGGGGGAACAAUGGCCUUACAGUGCCAAAGUGGCUAUGGUCUUGAGACAUGUCAUUUUCGAGACCUAGACUUGGGAAUCAACGUGAAAAUAAACUUCAUUGGCUA
rnacentral:lncRNA from 1 species